rnacentral:lncRNA from 1 species
UUUAAACAAAACCAUUUCUUUUUCUUUUAAAUAGAUAUGUGAUCAUUUAGCACACGGGUGUUAAGUUCAUUCUUGCUGCAAAAGAAGGCCAUUGUAUCUCCUGACCCUGAAAGCAAGCAUCUGUCUACUGGUGUGUUCCAUGGGGCCUCCCACUGCAGUUGCUGCAUAGCCCAGUAGCAAUAUUAGAACACAACAUGAAAGAAUAUGAUGAAUCCAUCCCUUGUUUGUGCAUCAGGGAUCCACUGUGAAAAAAUCUUGUAAUCCAAGGUGAGUGUCCCCAUUGUUGUUAGUAAGCAAAGUUCUGCUUUCCUUAUCCCUUUAGAAAAGUAGUCUAAAUUCUACUCUUUACCCUUCAAUUUCUGAUACUCAUAUAUCUCCAUUGUUCAUGAAAAAUUUUC